UACGGGGGGGGGCAAGCGUUGUUCGGAAUUACUGGGCGUAAAGCGCACGUAGGCGGCUUUGUAAGUUAGAGGUGAAAGCCCAGGGCUCAACCCUGGAAUUGCCUUUAAGACUGCAUCGCUUGAACAUCGGAGAGGUAAGUGGAAUUCCGAGUGUAGAGGUGAAAUUCGUAGAUAUUCGGAAGAACACCGGUGGCGAAGGCGGCCUGCUGGGCAGUUGCUGACACUGAGGCGCGACAGCGUGGGGAGCAAACAGG
rnacentral:rRNA from 1 species